CAGUCGCCGCGGGAAUACGGAGGAUCCAAGCGUUAUCCGGAAUCAUUGGGUUUAAAGGGUCAGUAGGCGGUCUUGUAAGUCAGUGGUGAAAGCCCAUCGCUCAACGGUGGAACGGCCAUUGAUACUGCAGGACUUGAAUUAUUGGGAAGUAACUAGAAUAUGUAGUGUAGCGGUGAAAUGCUUAGAGAUUACAUGGAAUACCAAUUGCGAAGGCAGGUUACUACCAAUUGAUUGACGCUGAUGGACGAAAGCGUGGGUAGCGAACAGGAUUAGAGACCCCCGUAGUCCCUGUCUCUUAUAC
rnacentral:rRNA from 1 species